AGUCUCUGCUGAUGUCUUGCACUGGGCUCAGACAUUGUGUGGUGAUGGAUGUGCUGCUCUGCCCCUGACAUGGUGGAGUCUGAAGAGACU